GGGGGCUGCGAGGUUGCGCCUCGCUCCCGGGGCUGCCAGUGCCGGGGGCGUUGCCGGCAAGGGGCGCAGGGCUGGGCGGCAGCGGGGGCACUCGGCGGGGAGCCCCCUAUUCGCCGGCCGGGCAGGAAACUGUCUUCUUCAAACAUUUUCACUAAUUUUCUGAAGUGUAUGUGAGCCAAAUUGCUGAUCUUCACCAAAAGCUAACCAACUAAAAUCACCACAUUGAGCAAGAUCAACUGGAGAUGCCAAAGCCUCAAAAUGGGAGCAAGAAAUGAUGACCAGACCUUCUGCCAUAUCAGACUCCAUACCUGAGAAAUGGAUGCACAACAUUACAGGAAAUACCAAUCCCACCACCUAAUGCACAAACAAUAAAAGACCAUAUGAAGCAGAUCAGUUUCCUCCCAAAUAGAAAACUGUGGGAGGGAGCCAAAGGACAGAAACAUCUUGGAGGGAUCAUCUUGCAGAGUUGCCUUCAGUCAUUGAAGAGGGAGAAAUUUGUGCCCCCAGUCUCCAUAAAGUUCCACACCCAAAACACACAAAUCCCAAGGAAUCUACAUGAAUCAAAGACUAUUUGCUGGACCCCCUGGCAACCUUCCUUACUCUCUGGAAGCAAAAUUUCAGUGAAUCUGUGUAACUGGGACUUCUCCCUGCUGCAGGUCUCCUUAAAGGGAUUUUACCCAGUGUGGAGAGGGACUACAGAAAAGAUAAUAUAACUUUGGGAAGUUUUGUCUUUUUUGAGUAAUCUCUAUGGGGAUAAUAGGUGCUGAAGCCCUGUCUGGAUGCGAUGAAUGCAUCAUUCAGGAUGACCAUACAUGCAUCAGAGAAGUAGGGGCACAUUGUUUUGGUCAACUGAAGACAGAAAAAGAGUAUUUCUAGCCACUGCAAUUACCUUGGUUCGAAGUGUUGCAAUGAAUGCCCGAGGCUAUUCCCUUGAUUAUCAGAAAGUGGAUGUCUUCAAAAGAAGAUGAAACUAUAAUUCCCACCAAUUCCUCAAAAUAUUUUCCCCUUCAUUUAACCAUCAACAUUCAUCUUCAGAUACAGCUUGAUCUAACUGGUUUUCAUCAAGACUCCAGUUUCUCUCAAACCCUAGGAUAACUGUGAGGCAGCAGGGAAGAAGAACUAUAGAGCUGAAUAUGCUACCACUUCAGUUCUGUUCUUGCUGUCGGUAUUGUAUUGGAUCACUUGUAAAUCUUGGGCAUGUUACAACUUUUCUGUGCCUCAUUCCAUCCAUUUUUUUCAAAUAUGUGUAAUGCAAAUUUUACAGGGGUUGUGUGUGGCUGGAUUGUUUGUGAAACUUCACCACCACCAAGUGUAAAGCACUGUGUUGCACAAACAGGAAAUUCAAGCACUAAUACCUGCAAAAGAGUUGUGAACCCAAACUUCCUCCUUUGUGUUUAUAUUUCUGAAGAAUUCUAGUCAAAAAGAAAAGUAUCAUUUACUUCUAAAUCUCUCUGCAGGGGUAAUGACUUAUUUACCUUUUGUUGACUAUAGUGUGUCAGUGUGAGAUUAUCCUAGCCAGUAUAAUUAGUGUCUAAAAAGGUGCUGUGCAUAUGCACAUUGCACAUGAAUAUAUAAAGCAAUUAUAGGUUUCAGUAAAAACAAAAGCCCUCAUACAAUGAGAUAUUUCUAAUGAAAAUAUUAGAUAAGAUGCAUCUCCUCAGGUACAGUCUCAAGAUGGCACUUAGGGAAUUAAGCACGGAAGUCCUGUUAUUUUCAAUAAGCUGCAAGCACAAAUCAUUUCAUGGCAUAUUGAACUUGUUUUGUACCUUCCUGAUCUGUGUAGAAAUGAUGGAUAAGCUUGGCUAUGUACCUCAGUUUGUUUAGACAGCUAAGGGAAUUCAAGAAGAGUGGCUAGUGAUUCUAUGGAGUCCCUAUUUGGAAGCUACGUUUCUUAUUGGGCGUUGAGGGGAGAACACAAGCAGCACCCAGAGAAGACAGUUAAAAUAAAGCUCAAUGAGUCUUUGCUUGACUUGGAUUCCAGAACCUCAUUACUGGUGUAUAUUGUCACCACCAGCCAACAUUGUGCGUGUUCUUGUCCUGAAAGGUGUGGAACAACCGAUCCUCUUUCAGAAUCACUUACCAAAAGCCAAUGGCUGAGUGACUGGUACUCAGAACAACUCAUUUCUCCAGCCUUUUUCUUUAAUCACUAAAUCCCCAAAUUGAUACUCAAGUCUUCUCCAAAGGGUAGAAACUGUGAAUAGCACGCGAAAGAAGAUACAGGAAAUUGAGAGGGAAAUGAGGUGUAGGGAGAGAUGAAAGAAGUUGGUGUCAGUGAAUAAGAUUUAGAGAGAAGGGAGCUGGUUGAUAGCCUGAUCUCUCAGGUAAAGGAGUAAUAAGAAGAGACAGAAGAAAAGUUAAGCAGGGAGACUGCAAGAGGAGGAAAAAAAGUGAAGAACAUUCAUUGGUGCUUAUGAGAGGGCUGCCAAAAAUUUAGGGCUAGAUUGUGCCCUGUCCUGCCAUGGCCACACAAAGGCAUAAGAGGGAGUAAGGAAUAUUCUUCCAUGUAAUUCACUUAAGGGAUGGUCACAACUGCAACCCUUGACAACUUAGAUUGCCAAUUCUUUGAGGCAUGGACCUUCUCUUCCUAUGUGAUUAUACAGGGUGCAGCACAGUAAAGGAACCUGACUGAGGCCUCUGAAUACCACUGUAGCAUAAAUAAUAUAUAAAUCAAUAGUAAUAACAGUGCAUGCUCACACACACACACACACACACCUUCUGAUCUGACAUAAUCUCAAGGGCCUCGGCGAGACAGUUCAUCUUAAAAAAAAUUAACUACCACAAAUACCAAAGAAUAAAUAAAAAUUUAGCUAAUUUAUCAUUUUUUUAAAAAAGGAUAUGGGAAUCUGAUGCAGAAGCUGUCAGUGACUAAAGAUCAACCACAUCUCAAAACAAGGCUUUUCAAAAUGGGGAGUGUUAAAAUGUUGCAGGUAUGGGGGAGUGUGUGAGGGUAAUUAGAAUAAGCUCCAUACCUUAGGUGCCACUUCCACUAAAGCUCAAUCAUCUUUCAAGCUGAACCACAAUAGUGGAACUCCUUGGGACAGGUGGUGUCAUUUUUCAUAAUACAAUAAAUGCAUUUAUGUAUUUGGACUGACUAGUUAAAUUGUGAGUACAUUCAUGAUGUUUUAGUGUAAGUAUUGAAGCUAAGGAUUUUGUUUUAUUUAUUUAUUGGUGUAAUCCUGCAUUCAAUACUAUUUCAUAGCUCAGAUGCUCUAACUUUAAUUUUCUUGUCUGUUAUUGUUAAACCAUGCUGGCAAGGCUAAUUCCCUGCUCUGGCACUUCGAGUACAGCAGUUGGGGGCCUGCAAGGAUUCUAAAAAUUAAUACUGGCCACUCCAGGCUUGUAUUAAAUUCCCAAGGUUGCAGCUUUUCUCUGACCUUGGAUUGGUAGAUGCUGCCACCACCCAAGUGCAGAACCCUUUUGAGAGGCUAGGAAGGCGCACUUGGGAAUUCCUUCCUGUGUGGUACCCUCAAGCCCUUUCAUCCCCCCUCCAGGGAAGAGCUGAGAAAGGAAAAAAAAAAGAAAUCAGUUAUUGACACCAGCUAAUUAAACAACGUGCACAAACCUCUUAAGACACAAAAAUCCAAUUCUGUUCUUUAAAAAGAUAAAUUUUAUUUUUAAAAAAGGAAUAAAAUGCAUCUGGGAACUCAGGCUAUUGCUAGAUUUUAAAAAGAGCAACUACAAGGAUUAAGCACCAAGAAUAGCUUUCUUGAGGUCCAACUUAAAGAUUACAAGCAAAACAAAAGCACCUGGGGUUAGCACAAAGGAAUCCACAAACCAUAACGAAAUAAAAGGGAUAAACCUAAUCAUGUCUUCCUAGACAUUUCCUGAUCUACUUACAUAUCUGGGUUUUUCAAAUGAGUAGUUUCUAUGAUACUGUUGAUUUUCAUACCUGGCCCAAGCUUUUACAGCAAAGCUGCUGCCAUGUCUGUCUCUCCCCCAGAGAGGGACAGACAGACAGACAAAAAGGGAGACACUUCAAUUUUAAAAAUUUCUAGCCUUCCCACUGGCUCUUUUGGCCAGGUGCCCACUCACUUCCUUUUACCUAUGCAUAGCACUGAGACUUUUGAAUCCUUUACAGGUAGAGCAAUUAGAUAACAGCUACUAAGAGGGAUUUUAUAGAUACUGGCUGGCUGGGUGUCCAUAAAAGGGAGCUACCCCCACCGCUUCUUUAUCACACAUGCUGUUUCUCUCUUCUAUAUUUGAGUAUAAAAAGUUCAUUCCUUACGACAGGUCUACUGAUGAAAACCUGCAUAGAAAAUGAGAGAAGGGCAAGAAUGGAAAUGCUCAAUCACGAGGUUAUUGAGAAGAGAAUAAAUUGGAAUUAACCAGAUAACAGAAUUCACCUAGUAUCCCAAAAUGAGUAUAUUAUGAGGGUACCAGUACUGUUAUUGCCCCACAGGAAAGACUGCUUGGAGAACCACCAGCUUCUUUGUUACCUUUAUUUGGUUACCACUGUACAAAUAUGAUACGGUGUAGGCAAUCAUUAGAAAGCUUGUUCUGAUCAAGACAGCCCAAAUGACAAGCACUGCAGGUUUUUGGAUUUUAUUUUGUUUUUAAAUGGGCUGAUGUGCGUUUAUAGAUACCUGAUCAUGCUAAUAAAUUUUGUAAUAGAUUUUCUAGUUAUGGGGAAAUUGCAUUACUAACAGGAGGGGAAAACUCUUUUUAUAACUGAUAGUGAAAUACAGUAAACUUUGUGAUGUGUGCAUGCAUGCACACUCUUUGUACUAAUGAAGGAAAAAGCUUUGUUUGUAUCCCUUAGAUCUUAUUUGCUUUCUA